rnacentral:rRNA from 1 species
UACGGAGGGUGCGAGCGUUGUCCGGAAUCAUUGGGCGUAAAGGGCGCGUAGGUGGCCCGGUCAGUUCGUGGUGAAAGCGCGGGGCUCAACCCUGCGUCGGCCAUGAAUACUGCCGCGGCUGGAGCACUGUAGAGGCAGGCGGAAUUCCGGUGUAGCGGUGAAAUGCGUAGAUAUCGGAAGGAACAUCAGUGGCGAAAGCGGCUUCCUGGACCAGCACCGACGUUCAGGCACGAAAGCGUGGGGAGCAAACAGG